rnacentral:rRNA from 1 species
AUGGCCGCCGCCGCGUUCUCCAUCAGGGCGUACGCGGCGAGCAUGAGGGGCGGGACGGCGGGGGGGCGGCGUCUCUUGGGAAUCGAGGAUCUCCCGCCUCUCGGAGCGCCGAGGUGCCGGUGGUGGGCGGACGAGCUCGCCUCCACCGUGGCUGCCGCAGCUGCGGCGGCGGCAUCCUCGAGGAGGGCGCAAGUGAAGGCGAAGCCGCCGAAGAAGCGGUCCAUCUCCGACCUCUUCGCCGCGGCGCCCCCCUUGGCCGUGCCUCCCGCCGGUGAUACCGGAUGCAAAGAGCAAAUGGAGGUGGACGGCGACGAGGCGGUGUGCGCGAUCGCGAGGCGGGCCAAGGAGGAUAAGAAACGAAAGAAAAAGCUGCAAGAAGAGGAAGAGGGGCAGAAGGAGGAGACGACGGCAGUGGAUGCCGCGCCGGAGAGCUGCGGAGGCCGAGAGGCCGAGGGGAAUUUCGCUGCAAGAAAGCAGGAAGCACUUGAAAAUCCAAACCUGUUUGAUGGACUGGAUACUCACUCAUUACAGAAACCUGAGGCUUCACAACAUCACAGAGAAGAGAGAGAAAAGAUAUCUGAGAGAAGGAAGCAGGGGAAGAUCAAUAAUAUAAACAAGAAGAAGGCUAACACACAAAAGCACAUCGGCAACAGUAAAGCUGACAAAGUGGGGAAACCACGAGAUCUGGAAAAUUUUAUCCCUAGGCAUGGCAUUCUAAAGUGCACAAAGCACACAUCAGUGAAAAUGGUCAAGGAGAAACGUGGCAAUUCAGAAGGCAAGGAAGUAAUAGAACUCUGCCGCAAAUCAGUGAAACGUGUCAAAUUCUCAGAAGCAGAUGCUAUACUUGAGCUACCAGAACGACAAACUCUCUGCAAGAUGUUUUCAGAUAUUAUGGCUUCUUCAUCGUCGUCCUCGUCAUCAUCAUCAUCAUUCACGUCUACCGAAGGAGACAAAUGCAUAACUGCAGAAAGUGGUGGUUCUCAUAUGCCCAUGGAAGCUUCCACUAAGGCGAAAGCAAAUAAGAAUUCAGAUCAUGAGGAUUCUCCUGACAAAAGCAUAACUGCAGAAAGUGGUACUUCUCAUAUUGCCAUGGAAGCUUUCACUAAGAAGAAAGAAGCAAAUAAGAAUUCAGAUCAUGAGGAUUCUCCUGAGGCUGGUAACAGAGAGAUGGCUGCUCCUCUCAUUGAUCUGAAUAUGGUGUUACCGGAAUCUACUGAACUGGACCAAAGGCUGGAAAGCGAACAAUCUACUGCUGACUUGGAAAGAAUAACGAAUUCAAGUUCGGCAGGCACAUUAUUGCAUGGUGGGGCUAUAAAAGUUUCUGAUGUAGAUGCUGCUGGUUCUCCAUUGAGCUUAACUGAACUUGCACAGACUCAUCGUGGUUGCAGUAAUGUUUCAGUAAAAGAUACUAUGACUAUGAGUACAUCUCCUUGUGCAUUGCCAGAUCAUACAUUUCCGGAUUCAUUUCGGCAGCACCAGAGUUGGUUUUCCACAAGCGGCAAAUUUUCUUCCUGGCCAUCUCAUGAAUCUAAUGUGUCACACAGUAAGGAGUUCAAUUUUCGUUCUGAGUUGAACAUUCCGCGUGAGAAUGGACCUUCCACAGGACCGACAGUUCGUUUGAUGGGUAAAGAUCUUUCAAUUUGCACGACCAGAGCUGAAUCGUUUUCGGAGACUGCGCAGAAGCAUACAGGUACUUUUACCAAUGACUAUCUCAACGCAAAUGUGUUCUUGCCACAACAAGGACGGCCUUUUCUCUCUUUACAAGCUCAGAAUUUCCCCAAUGAUACAGCAAAUUCUACCAGUAUAAUUCAUGCUUCAACAUAUCAUGCAAGCGCAAGUCAGGCACAGACUAGACAUGAUUACGGCCACCCCGUCCCGGCAGCUAAUUUUCUUUCUGGAGAUCAGUUGACAUAUGAAAACAGGUUUUUUGAUUUUUCAAACUCGCAGACCAAUCAGCCUUUUCUGUUGGGGUGCCCACAUCCUCCCAAUCGUGGCAGUGCAGCAUUCCAACAGAAUUCCCCGUUGCGCCGUUAUUACUCUGAUCCUAUCCCUAGGACAGAAGCACCCACAGCAUCACCUUUGCCUAUUACCAGACAGCAUGGUACACCAUCUUUCGGUUUCCAUGCCAAUUUGCCUCAGCAACAUGUUGUGCAUCCAGCAAGCUCGUCAGUUUGUCGUCUUAAUUCUGUGGAUUUUACAUUCAACCAUCCAGACCGGGUAGUUCAUACACCUUCCAACAGCAUAAGAGAUGCAACCCUUUCGGCAAGAAAUACAGAUAGCACAGUGGGGAGCGCUGUUCUUGGCAAUUUUAAUGCUUCACCUAGUGGUCGGUAUGUGCAGAAGAGAUCAGGCCCAGUGAAGCUCACUCCUGGGGCGAAGCAUGUACUGGUGCCAAACGAUAGCACAGGUGACGGCGAUUCUACGCCUGUGUACUCUUGUGUUUCGUUUGAUAGUAGGAGCACAAAUGCUGCAGGUCCUCAGAACAAAGGAGCAUGA